rnacentral:rRNA from 1 species
GAUGAACGCUGGCGGCGUGCCUAAUACAUGCAAGUCGAGCGAACGGACGAGAAGCUUGCUUCUCUGAUGUUAGCGGCGGACGGGUGAGUAACACGUGGAUAACCUACCUAUAAGACUGGGAUAACUUCGGGAAACCGGAGCUAAUACCGUAUGAUAUUUUGAACCGCAUGGUUCAAAAGUGAAAGACGGUCUUGCUGUCACUUAUAGAUGGAUCCGCGCUGCAUUAGCUAGUUGGUAAGGUAACGGCUUACCAAGGCAACGAUGCAUAGCCGACCUGCGAGGGUGAUCGGCCACACUGGAACUGAGACACGGUCCAGACUCCUACGGGAGGCAGCAGUAGGGAAUCUUCCGCGAUGGGCGAAAGCCUGACGGAGCAACGCCGCGUGAGUGAUGAAGGUCUUCGGAUCGUAAAACUCUGUUAUUAGGGAAGAACAUAUGUGUAAGUAACUGUGCACAUCUUGACGGUACCUAAUCAGAAAGCCACGGCUAACUACGUG